CUGCCGCGGCUGCGGACGGUGUCUCGCCGCCGCCUGCCGGAGCCGGCUGCCGCGGCGCUGGCUGCUCGCCGCCGCUCUAGCUCAUGGGCAGCGAUGCAGCGGGGGAAGAGAGAGACAGAGCGAGAGAGAGGCGGAGAAUGGGUGAAACUCGGCGCUGGGCAACAAGAUUGAAUUCAUUAUACUGGUUACCUGUCUAUUUCAAGUGUUUUUUAAAAACUUCAGAAAAAUCCUUCGUCCUUUUAGAAGAAUGAGAUAAAGAAAAAAAUAUGUUGCUUUAUUUUUGUUGAGUGAGUUUACUCCCCGGCUCUGAAGCAAAAACUUUGGAAGGAGCACAGCCCUUACAUUGAGGAUAUGCAUUUUCUAAUCCCUGUUAAAGUUGACCAAAAUCUGGGACUGUUACAGAUCUGAACUUAUAGAUCUUAAAAUUACGUUGUUAUAAUUCAGAAAAAUAAAUGACAGUUAUGUAUCCCUUGAAGAUUCUGUCUGCAUCUGACAUCUCUCUUACUUCCCCAAUAAUUCCCAUCUUGCAGAAAUUUUGCACAUAAGCCGUCUUCGCAGAGCCAGUGAGGAUACCUUGCUUGGAGAUGACAGGAGCUGCUAUGAUGUUCCCGAGAACCUCUGUUGUGUUAGACAGCAGAGAGAUGCUACCAUCUCUGUUGUAUGUUACCAUUGCUCCCCUUGAAAGAUCCUGACAGCACGGAGAAGGAGCUGACUGACGUAUCAAAGUGUAGGCUUAAGGAAACGACUGAGAUUGAGAUUCUCUUGGAUGCAAUACUGAAAAUAAACUUGUACUACUUAAAGAUUUCCUUGGUCACAAAAUGCCAAAACAUUCAGCUUCUUUCAGUGAAGAGACAGUUGUCAAUAUAAACUGUAGUUACACUUCAUUGAUACCUUCCUUUGUAGUGGAUUAUAAUAGUGAUAAUUAAGUUUUCCAUGGGAAACAUGAAGGUAGUAUAUAAAAUGGCCCACAGUGAUAAUUGAUAUGCUGUUGAUACCCUUUUCUAUUUCAAGAAAAGAAAAUGAAUGACAAGAAUUGAGUUUUAGAUCACAACGUUCCCAAAGAUUACAGAUUAAAAUGAAGGUAUUACAUGUUUUUUUCCAAGUGUUCAAGUUUAGAGCAUCUAGAAAAUCAGGAAGUUGUGGAUUCAAGCACCUGACAAAUCAUUUUUAUUGGCAAGUAGAUUGAUUACAAUGGUGCUUCUGCUCAAAGCAGUUACAAUUUGGCUGCAGAAAUCCACACCAAGUUAAAAUUUGACAUACACUGAAAUACCUAUGCAGCAAUAUUCUAUAUACUUUCAGACAAAUCUGUGAAUUAAAAUUUAUGGCUUUGAUAUUUUUUUUUUAACAUUUGUAGGACUUCAAAAUGGGUUUGUUCUCCGAAAUUACAUUUUGAGGAUCUUUCUGUUUCACUAUAAUGCAACUUUUAAUAGCCCUGAAUGCUCUAUGAAUUUACAUGACUGGACCAUCAAUCUGAACUUCAGUCUCAAAUCUCUAAACAUUUAUUCAGAGAGGAAAGAUAAUCUCCUUUGAUUAAGGUAAAUCCUUGGAAGCUGGGAGAUUUUGUUUUCGGUCCUUGCUGGGCCAUAUACUUCCUGUAGAAAUGAGGCAACACAAUGCAUUUUGAGAUAGGUGGUGGAAUGGCACAGCUGGGUCUGGAAGUACAGCUCUUUCACACAGAAAAACCCUUUCCUCUGGCCCUGUGAUUUGUUCCUGUUCACGGCUGUCCACCUGGUUUUAUCUGAAGAGGUCUCCACCCCAAGCUGAGGGUAACAUGUGCUUGUGCCCUUAGUUCUCUGUUUGCAGUACAUCAAUGUUAAUUCAAACUCAUUUUCAUUAACAUUGUAAGCUAAAAAGCUGAAAUAUGCCCCUAGGUAGCUCAUUAGCAGCUAAUUGACCAAAAGACUGGUAAGUCUUGGGCCAAGGGGCAGGAGGGAUGUUUGGACCAAGGUGUUAACUGCCAUGGCAAGAUUAGCCGGGGCUCUUGUGUCAAACCCCUAAAUCAACUUCAUUUGUCCCUAUAAAUCUUGCCCUGCUUCUUCUGACCUUUGGAUCAAUGGGAGUUGCUGAGUGCUUAACGGGUUUGCAAGUUUGCCCAUUCUUUCCAAAAUCUUACCAGAAGUAUUCAGGAGUUUAUAUUUAGGAUUCUCUUUCUAAAAUCAGAGCUCCAAAUUUGUUUAUGCUUGUCCAUAUUAAGAGUCACAAUUCAGUGCAUGUGCCUAAACAGAUUCUGGAAAAAAAUACCUUUAAAAUCUCACUUUAUUUGCCACUGUUUUUCAUAUAUUUUGAAGUCAGGAGGAACUGUUUCGAGCAUUUAUUUUGACCUCAUUCAGGCUUGAAAGUAUUACCUAGUAAUUUUCCUAGCAAGGCCAAUAAAUUGUGUCAGAGCUAGGGCAUGUUUUUAAAGCACACAUGGAAGCUUGAUUUAAAAUGACAGGAUCCACCACAAGUCUUGUUACAGUUAAAUUUUCCCUUUUUUUUUAAGUGAGUAUUUCACUUGAGGAUAUUGAAUAUGGAUCUUUGGGGAAAGUCUUGCUUUAUAAGGCAAUUAUAGACAUGUUUUCAACCACUCCUAGUUGAACCAACCUAGAGAGGGUAACAUCAGCUGCUACUGUAACCUAGACUGUUCACAGUUCCUGAGCUGUUCACAACAGCAGGGAUCUCAGCUUGAGCUAAACACCCAAGUGCUCAUUCUGAUUUGCAGGUAGAUUUUAUAUCCAGCACUGAGCUUUGUGCUGUUGCUACCUAGUCUGAUGCUACCUCAGCAGUAUCUGUAUCACACAGCAGUUUUCCAACAGCCAAGAACAGUUUUGGAAGAAAAGCAAAUAAACACUGAAAAUACUUAUCAGCUUCACAGGGCUUGUAGCAAGGCAUUAUUUAUGAAUGUUUGUGAUUUGCUUUAAAAUUAUUAGAUUAGAAAUGUGAUAUAUCCUAGAUUAAUUGAACAAAAGUCUAUAGGCUGACACUGGAUGUAAUAUUGGUUAUAAAAUUUUGCUGAAGUAAUUGCUGCUUAGACUAGAUAUUUUUAUCAAAAAAUUCAAUUUUAAUUUAAAAAUUACUGGUGAUGGAGAAUCUAAUGUUACCUGCAUUAAGUUGUUCCACUGGAUGGUUACUCUUCUCUUUAAAAAUGUCUAUGCUACGACUAGACUGCAUUUAUCUAACUUGUCUAAUUUCCAGCCAUUGACUCUUGUUAUUUCUUUGAGCUGUAAGCUGAAGAGUUGCCUUUUCACGCGUCUAUUUCCUGUAUUUUAAUGCCUGAAACUACAGACUAGUUACCUUUGAUGAGUCUGAGCCCUUCCUUAUUAAACUAAUUAAAUCAAA